GUGAGGAAUAUUGCGCAAUGGAGGCAACUCUGACGCAGCCAUGCCGCGUGCAGGAAGAAGGCGCUACGCGUUGUAAACUGCUUUUAACCGGGAAGAAACCCCAGGACGUGUCCUGGGUUGACGGUACCGGAGGAAUAAGCACCGGCUAACUUCGUGCCAGCAGCCGCGGUACUACGAAGGGUGCAAGCGUUAUCCGGAUUCAUUGGGUUUAAAGGGUGCGUAGGCGGAGCGUUAAGUCAGUGGUGAAAUCCUGCAGCUUAACUGUAGACUUGCCAUUGAUACUGGCGCUCUUGAGUGCGCUUGAAGUGGGCGGAAUGUGCCGUGUAGCGGUGAAAUGCUUAGAUAUGGCACAGAACACCAAUUGCGAAGGCAGCUCACUAAGGCGAUACUGACGCUGAGGCACGAAAGCGUGGGGAUCGAACAGGAUUAGAAACCCUGGUAGUCC
rnacentral:rRNA from 1 species